rnacentral:rRNA from 1 species
AAAUUGAAGAGUUUGAUCAUGGCUCAGAUUGAACGCUGGCGGCAGGCCUAACACAUGCAAGUCGAACGGUAACAGGAAAAAGCUUGCUUUUUUGCUGACGAGUGGCGGACGGGUGAGUAAUGUCUGGGAAACUGCCUGAUGGAGGGGGAUAACUACUGGAAACGGUAGCUAAUACCGCAUAACGUCGCAAGACCAAAGAGGGGGACCUUCGGGCCUCUUG